GACGAACGCUGGCGGCGUGCCUAAUACAUGCAAGUAGAACGCUGAAGAGAGGAGCUUGCUCUUCUUGGAUGAGUUGCGAACGGGUGAGUAACGCGUAGGUAACCUGCCUUGUAGCGGGGGAUAACUAUUGGAAACGAUAGCUAAUACCGCAUAACAAUGGAUGACACAUGUCAUUUAUUUGAAAGGGGCAAUUGCUCCACUACAAGAUGGACCUGCGUUGUAUUAGCUAGUAGGUGAGGUAACGGCUCACCUAGGCGACGAUACAUAACCGACCUGAGAGGGUGAUCGGCCACACUGGGACUGAGACACGGCCCAGACUCCUACGGGAGGCAGCAGUAGGGAAUCUUCGGCAAUGGGGGCAACCCUGACCGAGCAACGCCGCGUGAGUGAAGAAGGUUUUCGGAUCGUAAAGCUCUGUUGUAAGUCAAGAACGAGUGUGAGAGUGGAAAGUUCACACUGUGACGGUAGCUUACCAGAAAGGGACGGCUAACUACGUG
rnacentral:rRNA from 1 species